AACGCACAUUGCGCCCCUUGGUAUUCCAUGGGGCAUGCCUGUUCGAGCGUCAUCUACACCCUCAAGCUCUGCUUGGUGUUGGGCGUCUGUCCCGCCUCUGCGCGCGGACUCGCCCCAAAUUCAUUGGCAGCGGUCUUUGCCUCCUCUCGCGCAGCACAAUUGCGUCUGCGGGGGGGCGUGGCCCGCAUCCACGAAGCAACAUUACCGUCUUUGACCUCGGAUCAGGUAGGGAUACCCGCUGAACUUAA
rnacentral:misc_RNA from 1 species